AACCUAAUAUUAGACAAGCAGGCACAGAGGGACUUCAGGUCUACUAUACCAAACAGAGAUUCUAGCAGGAAGUGACAAUCAAUGCAGUGCUUGCUUGAAAGAGUGCUCUCCCUUUUUAUUAGAGGCAAUAUGAAAGAUGAAGAGUUUUCAAAAGGAGGAUGCAGGAAUUCUCAACACUGCA